UACGACGGGCAGUCGCUGUCGCCCGGUAAAGACCGGGGCGGUAGAGGAAAGUCGAGACACGCACUCCGGGCGCUCUGGAGGCGCUAUGGUGUAGUACGGUGCCCGGCGCAAGCCGGGGCAGGGCGACCUGACGACGGCAAAAGAAACCCACCGGGUUUCGAGUAGCCAUAAAGUGCCACAGAAACGAGGUCAUCGGGUAACCGAUGAGUGCAAGGGUAAACUCCACCAGCGUGCAACCCAAAUAGGCAGCCUUUGAGCUGCGGGUAGGGGCACCCCCGUGAGGGGGAGGCGAACCUUUAUGGUUGGCCUAGAUAGAUGACUGCUAAAACAGAAUCUCGCUUACGGUC
rnacentral:RNase_P_RNA from 1 species